CAGAGAGCAAGAGGGUGAGAAAGCAAGUUGCCAGGUCCAGGACUUGAACCGUGAUCGGCCACGGGGGAGUCCAGUGCCCUUAACCACCGUGCCACCUGCCGGCCCCCUAAGUUAACUCUGAGGUUGGGUUAUGAGAGACCAUUUUUUAAUAAUGUUCUCAGGCAUAAAUACCCAAAACAAGGUAAAAACGCUAGCAUGUGGUCAGAUCAGAUUCCAAGCCCUGGCUCUCCACCUAGUCUUCUGGACAGAUCAGAGAGGCUUUCCUGGGGUCAAACUACCUGGACUCCACGCAGUCCGCCACGGUUCAUGUUCCAGGCCCAGAGGCUUCACUCACGCCAGGCACGUGUGCAUGCCCCAAAUCCCAGGGGAACAGAGAAGGGGUUGCAGUGUGCCAUCUCCCUUGGGUGGGGGGUGAUUUCUGUCUUUCUCGGUCUCUCAGGUGAGUGCACGAACCCUACAGCAAAAAUCUCUCUAAAAAAAAUCUGUGUACAAAAAAAAAAAUCUACCAGUGCAGCAGGCACGCCCUGAACCCCUGCUGGCAGGGCCUUGGAAUUCCGUGUUCCCGGACCUCAGGGCCAGCCCCUGCGCAUGGUGGUUAAGGAGCCGGCUCACACAGGGCCAGCCUGGGCAGGAAUCCGGGCCGGCGGCUGGAGCCCCAAUCCCCACGCGCAGGGCGGUGGAGACGCUCCGCGGGGCACCAGGCCCCACCGCAGGGCUGCCUCCCUCUCCGCUGUCCCGGGAGAGCCACAUGCCCCAGGCAAAGCGAAAGCACCAGCUGCCAACCGCGACCUCCCGCUUCCGCUGCAAACCCACAGGAGGACACAUGAUGGAGUUGAAGCAAGAGUGAGCUGGUGGGAGCAGCAAAUCCUGCUGUCUGGAACUUUUGGAGGAUGGGGAGAAGGAAGGAGGCUGAGACCCAGACCUGCCUGUGCCCCUUCUCCACGGACAUCGCUGUAGCCAAGGAGUCCCACUGGGCCUGGAGGCACCCUCUCCCGUCUCGUUGACCCCUCCGCUCACUCCCCCAGAUCUGUCUCCUCCUCACACAGAGCCCCUGGGGCCGACUCCUUGUCCACCUAAAGCUGCUCUGGAGGCAGACACCGGUACCCUUGCCACUCAGGCCCAGCGGCAGGGGCAGCACCAGGCCGGCCAGGGCAGCAAGGAGCCAGGCGUGGGGUGCUGUGCUGGGCUCUCCACCAGGAGGCGGGGCAGCGCUGCGGCUCGGUGAGACCGUCUCAAACCAGAGACCAAGAAGCAGGCCAUCUGCCCAAGCUGUGUGGACUUGCCCUGUCCUGGGUCCCAAUGGGAGCAGGAGCGCAGCAGAGUGCCAGGUGGCCCCUCGGCAAACCCCAGCUAGCCUGGCGCCAGGAGGGCGCGGGGCCCACCUGAGUCACACCGUGCCAGAGCAGCCGUUCGCAAGCCUGGGCCUGUGCCCGUGCCCUGCUGUCGGAGCCCAGGGGUGGCGGGCUGCUGACGGGACAGUCUCUGACACCAGGCUGCCCUCUCCCUGGUCAGAGCUGUCUCAGAUGUGCUGAGCACGGGCAGAGCCGCCAGCACCACCCGCACUGUUCAGCUGCCGUAGGCAGGAAACCUGGAACUGUGGACACACCAGCACCUCUCCUGCAGCCUCAGAGCCGGCCCUGGGGGUUCUCAGGUCACCCACUCGGGUGGGGCAGCUGUGGCCCUGAGAGGCUGGGGACUGGACUCCUAGCUGCCUUAGGGCGGGAGGCAAGCCACAGUCAAGAGAACUGAGGGGCAGGGGGCUGGCCCACGCCAAGAGACCCAAGAAGGAUCCACAGGGAAGCCCUGUAAGAAAAGCUACAGGGGGAACCAGCAGUUAGCGUAAUGGCUAUGUCGCUGGA